AGACUGCAUGGAGUAAAGUGAAAGUAAAAUCUUCGGUUUAUGUGGAGAGAAAUAUAAAGUUUUCUAGAAAAUCACGUGUUACUCCAGUGUGAUGGAGGGUACGAGACCAGAUUCACCUGAACCCAGCUGUGUCUCCAUGAAGAGCGACUGGUCAAUGAAUCCUCCACUUUACUUUAAAGAUGAAGGCUGUUCUACUGAUCUGAGAGAGCUGCCAGCCAAAUGUUAAGAAAUCAGCUUGCCGUGUGAAACAGUACAGGUUCAUGAUUACUGUAAAGAGCUGUUUGUGCUUUCAUACAGUCUGUACAGUUUUUAAUGUUUCCUUGACAUGUAUUUUAAGUAAAUAUUUCUGAAGUGAAAUAAAAAAGAGAAGAAUUUUA